UCCCUGGUGGCUCAGAUGGUAAAGCAACUGCCUGCAAUGCGGGAGACCCAGGUUCGAUUCCUGGGUCGGGAA
rnacentral:tRNA from 1 species